UACGGAGGGUGCAAGCGUUAAUCGGAAUUACUGGGCGUAAAGCGCACGUAGGCUGCUUUGUAAGUCAGGGGUGAAAUCCCACGGCUCAACCGUGGAACUGCCUUUGAUACUGCUUAGCUUGAAUCCGGGAGAGGGUGGCGGAAUUCCAGGUGUAGGAGUGAAAUCCGUAGAUAUCUGGAGGAACAUCAGUGGCGAAGGCGGCCACCUGGACCGGUAUUGACGCUGAGGUGCGAAAGCGUGGGGAGCAAAC
rnacentral:rRNA from 1 species